rnacentral:rRNA from 1 species
CUAUCUGCAGUCGAACGCACAGCGAAAGGUGCUUGCACCUUUCAAGUGAGUGGCGAACGGGUGAGUAACACGUGGACAACCUGCCUCAAGGCUGGGGAUAACAUUUGGAAACAGAUGCUAAUACCGAAUAAAACUUAGUGUCGCAUGACACAAAGUUAAAAGGCGCUUCGGCGUCACCUAGAGAUGGAUCCGCGGUGCAUUAGUUAGUUGGUGGGGUAAAGGCCUACCAAGACAAUGAUGCAUAGCCGAGUUGAGAGACUGAUCGGCCACAUUGGGACUGAGACACGGCCCAAACUCCUACGGGAGGCUGCAGUAGGGAAUCUUCCACAAUGGGCGAAAGCCUGAUGGAGCAACGCCGCGUGUGUGAUGAAGGCUUUCGGGUCGUAAAGCACUGUUGUAUGGGAAGAACAGCUAGAAUAGGAAAUGAUUUUAGUUUGACGGUACCAUACCAGAAAGGGACGGCUAAAUACGUGCCAGCAGCCGCGGUAAUACGUAUGUCCCGAGCGUUAUCCGGAUUUAUUGGGCGUAAAGCGAGCGCAGACGGUUUAUUAAGUCUGAUGUGAAAGCCCGGAGCUCAACUCCGGAAUGGCAUUGGAAACUGGUUAACUUGAGUGCAGUAGAGGUAAGUGGAACUCCAUGUGUAGCGGUGGAAUGCGUAGAUAUAUGGAAGAACACCAGUGGCGAAGGCGGCUUACUGGACUGCAACUGACGUUGAGGCUCGAAAGUGUGGGUAGCAAACAGGAUUAGAUACCCUGGUAGUCCACACCGUAAACGAUGAACACUAGGUGUUAGGAGGUUUCCGCCUCUUAGUGCCGAAGCUAACGCAUUAAGUGUUCCGCCUGGGGAGUACGACCGCAAGGUUGAACUCAAGGAAUUGACGGGGACCCGCACA